rfam:Camelus ferus unplaced genomic scaffold scaffold902, whole genome shotgun sequence.
GCAACUCCCAGCUUUAUCACAUCAUACACCCAUGUCAGAAAGACAGAAGGGAAGAAGAGCGUGGUAUUGCAAGGCUGUUCUUAGUUGGUAGAGCAAUUGCCUAGUUAAUUCCAAUAACACAGAAGACUCUAGCAUGCUAACUAGUUAUGCAACCUCAGAGCAGCUGGCGUCUUCCAACUUAUUAAAGGGACAAGUGGCCUUCAGCCACCCGGGAUUGACCAGUAACAGGUCUGUGAUUACCACAGAUGUCCACGGCUGCAUGCACGCUCCACUGACUGGUUCAGCAUGUGCCUACCCUACGGCAGCAGGCACAGAUAACCUGCUGAACCUCAUUUGUAUUUUUACAGCAUAUUGGCUUAACAUGCUGUCAUAUG